UGAUUUGAAAUUGGGUCUCUGUCUCUUUAAGAACCUCCUGUUCUUAAUGAGUAGGAGGUUCUUAAAGAGACAGGCAGCGCUUUGUGUGUGCUCCAUGGCAACCUCUAUGGUUACCAUGGAGAUCAAAGGAUUUCUCAAACAAGCAUGAAAGAAUCAAAGCAACCCUCUAGGUAUGUGUAUGAUGAGGGACUAACAAAAUAACAUUUCACAGAAUACUGCCCCUUUAAGGAUCGAGUCUCAGGAGAAAUCUGGCAGCAGAUUUUCUACAGGAAAAAUUAUUCCAACUCUUCUCAAUAAUCCCUGCUGGGAUUAGAUGUGUAUUUAUAAUAAAAUCAGCCAAAAGCUUUUCCUCCUGAUGUGUUCAGGACUCGCUCGUCUCUCUUGUUGUUUUUGGAUAAAUUGUUGAUCAGAUAUCGUCUGUCACGCAAACAUCCACAUAUUUAUGUUUCCACUUCAAAACAAGCUGAAACACGGCGGCGCCGGUCGGAGCGGCAUUCCCACCAAACCCAGCCAGACUCCGGAUCCCUGCUGGGACGUCAGCCGGGUUUCCCACAAACCAGACGGAAACAGCAGCUCUGAGCUGAACCGGCUUCACCUCCUGCUGCUCUGAUGGACGACAACGCAGCUGAACGCCACGAGAAGACGGAGAAACAUCAGAGAAUCACAACAGACGUCUGUGAUGGUGGAGAGGAGCUGAUACAACCCAAACCAGCCCAGGUCCUCCAGCUGUGAUCAGCUGGAUCUGUGAUCAGCUGGAUCUGUGAUCAGCUGGAUCUGUGAUCAGCUGGAUCUGUGAUCAGUUGCCUGCUAAGAGCUGCAGCAGGAAGUGGGACUCUUCCAGCUUCCUUUCAUUAAGGGGCAUCUGCAGAAAAUCCUCUUCGCAGCAGAUGAAGCUCACCGUGCAUCCCAUCCGAGCUCCUCCACAGACCCAUCCAGCAGAGCGGCUUCCUCCCGGCCUCUCGCCCGGCUCCCCGCGGCUCCCUGCGGCUGUAGGCGGCCAGGAAUCAGGACCUCAUUGCGGCCGAGCUGCCCGCGGCCCGCCCGGCAUCACUGCGCUGGAGAACCCGAUCAGCCCUGCGGGGAAGUUUCCAGGUGUUUCCGCAGCUGCUCCGCCAGUCUGAGGGAACAAACAGAUCUGCUGCCACUCCCCCGUAAAGCUGUGGUUAUGCAAUAAUCCCACGGCCCAGUCGACCCGGUCGGACUCAGUCAGGUCUGGUUCUUCAUCUGUCCACAAAGUGCAGG